rnacentral:rRNA from 1 species
AAAUUGAAGAGUUUGAUCAUGGCUCAGAUUGAACGCUGGCGGCAGGCCUAACACAUGCAAGUCGAACGGUAACAGGAAGCAGCUUGCUGUUUCGCUGACGAGUGGCGGACGGGUGAGUAAUGUCUGGGAAACUGCCUGAUGGAGGGGGAUAACUACUGGAAACGGUAGCUAAUACCGCAUAACGUCGCAAGACCAAAGAGGGGGACCUUCGGGCCUCUUGCCAUCGGAUGUGCCCAGAUGGGAUUAGCUUGUUGGUGGGGUAACG